rnacentral:rRNA from 1 species
AUACGGAGGGUGCAAGCGUUAAUCGGAAUUACUGGGCGUAAAGCGCGCGUAGGCGGCUAUUUAAGUCGGAUGUGAAAUCCCUGGGCUCAACCUAGGAACUGCAUUCGAUACUGGAUAGCUAGAGUUUUGGAGAGGUAAGUGGAAUUUCCGGUGUAGCGGUGAAAUGCAUAGAGAUCGGAAGGAACACCAGUGGCGAAGGCGACUUACUGGCCAAAAACUGACGCUGAGGUGCGAAAGCGUGGGUAGCGAACAGGAUUAGAAACCCCGGUAGUCC